rnacentral:ncRNA from 2 species
CUCUUAUCUAGAGAGGUGGAGGGACUGGCCCUAUGAAACCCGGCAACCUGUGUUUUAAACACAAGGUGCCAAUUCCUGCGGUAUAAGAUAUACCGAGAGAUGAGAG